UAGAGGUCCGCCUGCCUGUGACCAUGUGUUUAACGGCCGCGGUAUUUUGACCGUGCAAAGGUAGCGCAAUCACUUGUCUUUUAAAUGGAGACCUGUAUGAAUGGCACGACGAGGGCUUAACUGUCUCCUUUUUCCAGUCAAUGAAAUUGAUCUUCCCGUGCAGAAGCGGGAAUAACCCCAUAAGACGAGAAGACCCUGUGGAGCUUUAGACACCAAAGCAGACCAUGUCAAAGACCCCCUAUUAAGGGCUUGAACCAGUUGGGCUCCUGCCAAAAUGUCUUUGGUUGGGGCGACCUCGGGGAAAUAAAAAACCCCCGCGCGGAAUAGGAGUACUCCACUCCCAAAACCAAGAGUCACCACUCUAAUUAACAGAAUUUCUGACCACCAUGAUCCGGCAAUGCCGAUCAACGGACCGAGUUACCCCAGGGAUAACAGCGCAAUCCUCUUUUAGAGCCCAUAUCGACAAGGGGGUUUACGACCUCGAUGUUGGAUCAGGACAUCCUAAUGGUGCAGCCGCUAUUAAGGGUUCGUUUGUUCAACGAUUAAAGUCCUACGUGAUCUG
rnacentral:rRNA from 1 species